GACGAACGCUGGCGGCGGGCCUAAUACAUGCAAGUAGGACGAGUUGCGAACGGGUGAGUAACGCGUGGUAACCUGCAUAAUAGCGGGGGAUGACUAUUGGAAACGAUAGCUAAUACCGCAAACGAGUAGAUGGACCGGCGUUGGAUUAGCUAGUUGGUAGGGUAAUGGCAGACAUAGGCAACGAUACAUAACCGACCUGAGAGGGGGAUCGGUCACACUGGAACUUAGACACGGUCCAGACUCCUACGUGAGGCAGCAGUGGGGAAUAUUGGACCAUGGGCGCAAGCCUGAUGCAGCCAUGCCGCGUGUGUGAAGAAGGCCUUCGGGUUGUAAAGUACUUUAAGCUGGGAGGCGUUACCCGCAGAAGAAGCACCGGCUAACUCCGUGCCAGCAGCCGCGGUAAUUC
rnacentral:rRNA from 1 species